AUACUAUUAUUUACAAUGAACCCUUUAUUUUUACUGAAUAUUUCUAUAAAGUUAUAGAACCUUUUAUGUUGAAACUAGUAACAAGAAGUUAAACUUCUCCUCAAUAUAAGUAUAAGUCGACUAGGAUAAACCAUCGACAAUUAACGCUUAAAUUAAAUGUAUUAACUCCACAAGAAAAACUUACAUUACCCCACGUUAAUCUUACACCAGAACAUUUAAGGAAAGAUUUAAAAAAAAGGAAGGAACUCGGCAAACAUUAACCCCGCCUGUUUACCAAAAACAUCGCCUUCUGAUAUAUUAUAGAAGGUCCAGCCUGCCCAGUGAAUUAAUUUAACGGCCGCGGUAUCCUAACCGUGCGAAGGUAGCGUAAUCACUUGUUCUUUAAAUGAGGACUAGUAUGAAUGGCACCACGAAGGUUAUACUGUCUCCCUUUUUUGAUCAGUUAAACUAAUCUUCACGUGAAGAAGCGUGAAUAAACAUAUAAGACGAGAAGACCCUAUGGAGCUUAAAAUUACACAACAAUUGUUAAAAAAAUCCUAAAUUUUAUAAAUAAUUUUUUACUAAACACCAUGAUUGCUAAUUUUUGGUUGGGGUGACCGCGGAGUAAAAAUUAACCUCCACAAUGAAAGAAAUCAAUAUUCUAAACUAAGAGCUACAACUCAAAGUAUUAAUAUUUUAACAUUCUUUGAUCCAAUAUUUGAUCAACGAACAAAGUUACCCUAGGGAUAACAGCGCAAUCUACUUUGAGAGCUCCUAUCGACAAGUAGGUUUACGACCUCGAUGUUGGAUCAGGGUAUCCUAGUGGUGCAGCCGCUACUAAUGGUUCGUUUGUU
rnacentral:rRNA from 1 species